rnacentral:lncRNA from 1 species
UGGCCGGUGGUCUUGUCCUCAGCAGAGACGUUCAAGAUACCAUUGGCAUCAAUGUCAAAGCAAACGGUGAUCUGAGGAACACCCCUAGGAGCAGGUGGAAUUCCAGAGAGUUCGAAUUUGCCCAGCAGAUUGUUGUCUCUGGUCCUCGUCCUCUCACCCUCGUAAACCUGAAUCAGGACACCGGGUUGGUUGUCAGAGUAGGUAGAGAAGACUUGCUCCUUCUUUGUGGGGAUGGUGGUGUUCCUGGGAAUCAAGACAGUCAUGACUCCUCCCGCGGUCUCCAGACCAAGAGAGAGAGGCGUGACAUCCAACAGAAGCAGGUCCUGAACCUUCUCAUUGCCCUCACCGCUAAGAAUUGCAGCCUGAACAGCAGCACCAUAAGCAACUGCCUCGUCAGGAUUAAUACUUUUGCAUAGCUCCUUACCAUUGAAAAAGUCCUGCAGCA